GAUAUACUCCCUCUGUCCGGAAAUACUUGUCCGAGGAAUGGGUGUAUCUUAUCUAGAUGUAUUUUAGUUCUGGAUAUAUUCAUUUGUAUCUAUUUCUAUGACAAGUAUUUUCGGACGGAGGGAGUACUAG
rfam:Triticum aestivum genome assembly, contig: Triticum_aestivum_CS42_TGACv1_scaffold_569429_7AS